AAGUCGUAACAAGGUUUCCGUAGGUGAACCUGCGGAAGGAUCAUUAACACGUAUCCAAACGUUAAAACCCCCCUGUGAACCUUCAACACCAAUGCUCUCCAGACGGUUGAAUUUUGGCUAUCCCUAGUAAAUCAUUGCUUGGAAAGAUUUUUGAGUUAGGGACUUCCGUCUGCGGUUUGGAUUGAGCGGAUUUGCAUUAGUAGCAUUCUGGUGCCCCCAAGCAACCACUGAUCUGAAAGUGUUUGGUGAAUUGUGCAAGGGCGGCGCUGUCAGCGCUCGCUGGAGGCCCUCACGGCCGGCGACCUACUAGGUGGCCCAGUUUACCACCAUAACAUGACGCCCCGCGCGCCGAAAGGUUGUACGCACCCCUAAAACGAACAACUGUUAACAAUGGAUAUCUUGGUUCUC
rnacentral:misc_RNA from 1 species